rnacentral:rRNA from 1 species
GACGAACGCUGGCGGCGUGCUUAACACAUGCAAGUCGAGCGGUAAGGCCCUUUCGGGGGUACACGAGCGGCGAACGGGUGAGUAACACGUGGGUGACCUGCCCUCAGCUCUGGGAUAAGCCCGGGAAACUGGGUCUAAUACCGGAUAUGACUCCAUGACGCACGUUGUGGGGUGGAAAGCCUUGUGCGGCUGAGGAUGGGCCCGCGGCCUAUCAGCUUGUUGGUGGGGUGAUGGCCACCAAGGCGACGACGGGUAGCCGGCCUGAGAGGGCGACCGGCCACACUGGGACUGAGACACGGCCCAGACUCCUACGGGAGGCAGCAGUGGGGAAUCUUGCGCAAUGGGCGAAAGCCUGACGCAGCGACGCCGCGUGA